GACGUAGGGCGCGAGCGUUUGUCCGGAUUUAUUGGGCGUAAAGAGCUCGUAGGCGGCUUGUCGCGUCGAAUGUGAAAUCUCGGGGCUCAACUCCGAGCUUGCAUUCGAUACGGGCAGGCUAGAGUUCGGUAGGGGAGACUGGAAUUCCUGGUGUAGCGGUGAAAUGCGCAGAUAUCAGGAGGAACACCGGUGGCGAAGGCGGGUCUCUGGGCCGAUACUGACGCUGAGGAGCGAAAGCGUGGGGAGCGAACAGG
rnacentral:rRNA from 1 species